rnacentral:lncRNA from 1 species
AGGGAGAUCAAACUUGUCUUAUUCAUAAUCAAAUUCCUCAAAAACCCAUGUAGAAAUACUCAUUGAUUUCGGAAUAAAUUCAAAUUUGAUUUAAACACUACUAAAAGGUGACCCAACUAGAUUUUCUUUUUCUUUUCAAUUGGAGUCAUAGUUUUUUUUACCCACUUAAAGCAAGAUACUAAUGGCGUAGUAUCACUUGAACGGUAAGACAU